GACAUGGGAGGAUCGAGGGAAGAGUCCAUGGAAGGCUCGGGGCUGAGAGCUGCGGAAGAGAGUACAGGCAGAGACUGAGGAAUGACCUCCGUGGUCGGGAGCAUAGGCAAAGACUGGGGAGAAGGUGUCCUUUUCUUUCUUCUCCAGCCAGAAGGAAGCGUGUUUACAGGGACUGUCGAGGCUACAGGCACUGGGACGGUCUAGGCUACAGGCACGGGCUCAUUAACAGUGGCAGGCAUGGGCACAGGUUGUGGCCCGGGGUUCCCGCCAUAAUUCACAGCAUAUGGGGGAAACGCAGCCUCCGUGGUCACUACCGCUGAGUGCGGCAGGGAAUCGACCACCGGAACCAGGGGAGGAUGAGCCCCCUCCCCCAAAAAAUUUUUUAGGGGAAUUGUAUGGAGAGUUACCUUGGAGACAGGGGCCGUGGAAGGCACAAAGUCAACUUCUGUAUUAAACAUGAGAGUGAAGGGUAAUGGAUAUUCAGGGUGGCUAGGAUGUAAUUUGCCAAGGGUAGAUCUUCCACCUCCGGAAGUGCUGUGGGUCUGUGAAAGUUUAAUCCCAUUCCAUAAAUGGGCUUGAGGUACAUAUCUGGUAUUGAUGUCAAAGCAGUGAGGUGAAGGAACUCUGUUGUGUAUUACAAGAGGGGAAGAUCCUGCCUGAACAGCUCCAAGAAUAACUCUGUUGGCUCCAUGCUCAGUGAUGUGCUCAUCGAGGGAAGGCUUUGUAGGAGAAGAGGAUUAGUGGGGUCGCUGGUGUAGAGGAAGAUGUUUGGAAGAGCAGAGCUGACAUGUGAAACCAUGGGAGACUGACUUUGAUGACCUAGUAAGCCAGUUAUCCACAAAUGAUCCAAAAAGCAAUAAGGGAGAUUGCUUGUCACCAGGCACAUCCGCAUGGUGUUGCCUAGCAGUGGUCAUGAGUAGAGGGAACUGCUGAAAUGUUGCCAGGGAUUAACCCGAUUCCUGAUGGUGAACAUACCCCAUGUCCACAAUGUCCGAACCCUUGUAAUUGUAGGAAGGAGAAGUUUAGGUGUUGGGCUAGCCUACAGGUGUAAGGUUGGUUUGGGAUUUAUACAGACUGGUCAAUGUAUUUGGACAAUGACACAAUUUUUGGUUAUUUUGGCUCUGUCUUUCAGCAUAUUGGAUUUUAAAUAAAACAAUGAUUAGGAGUUUAAAAUGCAGACUUUCAGGUUUAGUAUGAGGGUAUUAUUUGGUCAUCAAAUUCAAAGAAUCUGCAACCAAGUACUAAAUAUGAUCAUUAUAUUUAGGUUUAUAGGAACUUGUACAAUACCUUUUGGUCCUCUGAAAAAUGGCAGUCUGUCAAAUGGCUACAAUUACUACAUGGUUCACUUGAUACAUCUGAAAAUACCCACAAAUUUAAGAUGAGAGUUUGCACUUGAAGUCCAUAGUCAUUAUAUAAUUUCAGAUUCAAUGUACUGGACAGA